ACGGACGUGGCGGCGUGCCUAAACAUGCAAGUCGAACGCUUUUUCUUUCACCUGAGCUUGCUCCACCGAAAGCAAAAGAGUGGCGAACGGGUGAGUUACACGUGGGUAUCUUGCCCAUCAGAAGCGGCUAACACUGUGAAACAGGUGCUAAUCCCGCAUAACACUAUUUUCCGCAUGGAAGAAAGUUGAAAGGCGCUUGGUGCGUCAUUGAUGCGAUGGACCCGCGCUCCAUUAAGUAGAUGGAGAUGGUAACGGCUCGCCAAGGCAUCGAUGCAUAGCCGAGGUGAGAGUGCGAUCGGUCACACGUGGGACUGAGACACCACCCAGCCUCAUGCGGGAGGCAGCAGUAGGGAAUCCUCCACACUGCUCGAAAGUUGGGCCGAGCACCCCCGAGUGAGUGAAGAAGGUUUUCGGAUCGUAAAACUCCUGUUGUUAGAGAAGAACAGGGAUGAGAGUAAAACGUUGAUCCCUUGACGGUAUAUAACCAGCCGUCCUCGGCUGCGUCCGUGCCCGCCGGGGUGUUUCUUCGUUGGUGGCCGCUUUUUUCCGUCCUUUUUGGGUGUGUUGCGAGGGCCGGCCGUUUCUCUGGUGUGGUGUGCCUGUCCCUGGCUCUUUCGGGGCUGGUCAUUGUUAUCUGCGCUACUUUUAUGUUGCCUCUGCUGAGUUUGAUUUUCAUGUGCCGCUGUUGAAGGGGUAGAUAUAUGGACGGAACACCUGAGGAGAGGGCGUGUCUGUGGUCUGUAACGGACGAUGAGGGAGAAAUAUUGUUUUU
rnacentral:rRNA from 1 species